AUGGCCACCAAGAUGGCCACCAAUGUGGCUGCCAAGAUGGCUGCCAAGAUGGCCACUGAGAUGGCUACCAAGAUGGCCACUAACAUGACCACCAAGCUGUCUGCCAAGAUGGCCUCCAAGAUGGCUGCCAAGAUGGCCACCAACAAGGCCACCAAGAUGACUGCCAAGAUGGCCACUGAGAUGGCUACCAAGAUGGCCACCAAAAUGGCUGUCAACAUGUCUGCCAAGAAGGCCACCAAUAUGGCCAAAACAUGGCCAAUAUGGCUGCCAAUGUGGCCACCACGAUGGCCAUCAACAUGGCCACCAAGAUGGCGGCCAAGAUGGCUGCUAAGAUUGAUGUCAGGAUGGCCACUAAGCUGGCCACCAAGGUGGCCACUGAGAUGGCUGUCAAGAUGGCUGCCAAGAUGGCCACCAAGGUGGCUGUCAAUGUGGCCACCAAGAUGGCCACCAACAUGGUUGACAAGAUGGCUAACAACAUGGCUACCAACAUGGCCACCAAGAUGGCCAAAACAUAGCCAACUACAUGGCCACCAACAUGGCCACCAAGAAGCCAAACAAGAUAGCUGCCAAUAUAUCUGCCAAGAUGGCCACCAAUGUGGCUACCAACAUGGCCGCCAACCCAACAUGGCUACCAACAUGACCACCAACGUGGCUACCAGUGUGGCCACCAAUAUGGCUGCCAACAUGGCCGCCAAUGUGCCUAGCAACUUGGCCACCAACAUGGCCGCCAACAUGGCCACCACCCAGGUCAUGUUAGUAGCCAUUUUGGCGGCCAUCUUGGUGGCCGUGUUGGUAGCCACAUUGGUGGUCAUCAUGGUGGCCAUCUUGGCCGCCAUCUUGGCAGCCAUGUUGGUGGUCACAUUGGUAGCCAUGUUGGUGGCCAUGCUGGCGGCCAUCUUGGUGGCCACAAGCCCAGACCAGUUGCCCACCACCACCACACCCAGUAAGACCAGCGUGGUGGCCACGCCCCCAGCACCCCAUGACCACGCCCUCUCCCCAUGA
rnacentral:lncRNA from 1 species